GAGGGUGUAGCUCAGUGGUAGAGUGCAUACCAAGCAUUCACAAGGUCCUGGGUUCAAUUUCCAGUACCUCCA
rnacentral:tRNA from 1 species